AUCUUCCUCGCUGACCUUCUGAAGUCUGUCCAUGGUUGUCCCUCACCGCGUUCUGAAGAUCGGUCCGUGGUCCUCCCUCCAUCCUCGCUGACGAGCGUAUCGAGUCGUGCCCGCCCACCAUCCUUCACUGCCGGCGAUCAUUGGUACCGAUUCAUAGCUAAAAUUUGGAUGUAGAUUUCCACGCAUUGAGAUAUGCGUUUUUUUUUUGUUUGAUCACCUUUUGUC
rnacentral:lncRNA from 1 species